AACGAACGCUGGCGGCAGGCUUAACACAUGCAAGUCGAGCGAGACCUUCGGGUCUAGCGGCGGACGGGUGAGUAACGCGUGGGAACGUGCCCUUCUCUACGGAAUAACCCCGGGAAACUGGGAGUAAUACCGUAUACGCCCUUUGGGGGAAAGAUUUAUCGGAGAAGGAUCGGCCCGCGUUGGAUUAGGUAGUUGGUGGGGUAAUGGCCCACCAAGCCGACGAUCCAUAGCUGGUUUGAGAGGAUGAUCAGCCACACUGGGACUGAGACACGGCCCAGACUCCUACGGGAGGCAGCAGUGGGGAAUCUUAGACAAUGGGGGCAACCCUGAUCUAGCCAUGCCGCGUGAGUGAUGAAGGCCUUAGGGUUGUAAAGCUCUUUCAGCUGGGAAGAUAAUGACGGUACCAGCAGAAGAAGCCCCGGCUAACUCCGUG
rnacentral:rRNA from 1 species